rnacentral:rRNA from 1 species
UACGUAGGGCGCGAGCGUUAUCCGGAAUUAUUGGGCGUAAAGAGCUCGUAGGCGGUUUGUCACGUCUGCUGUGAAAACUGGAGGCUCAACCUCCAGCCUGCAGUGGGUACGGGCAGACUAGAGUGCGGUAGGGGAGAUUGGAAUUCCUGGUGUAGCGGUGGAAUGCGCAGAUAUCAGGAGGAACACCAAUGGCGAAGGCAGAUCUCUGGGCCGUAACUGACGCUGAGGAGCGAAGGCAUGGGGAGCGAACAGG